AGAGUUAAACAGUACGUGAAAUUGUUGAAAGGGAAACGAUUGAAGUCAGUCAUACCAACGGGAAAUCAACCUUUUGAGUUUGGUCUCGUGGGUUUUGAAGAGUUUAAAAGCCUUCGGAUUUUCGAGAUUGGGUUCUUCUGGUGUACUUUCUCGUACGGUUAGUCAACAUCGGUUUUGAAUGUCAUAAAAUGACUGGAGGAAUGUGGCUUCGAUCUCGUAUUGAAGUGUUAUAGCCCGGUCUCCUGAACAUGCCUAGGGGGCUGAGGAACCUCAAGUCCCAUUUUUGGAGCCCCUUGCCUCUGGCUGGUUGGGCCUGGUUAUGCUGUGGGUCUCUCUCGGGAGGCCUUCUAGAUGGCCGGGUCAGUAGCUGGUCUUGGGUGGGGGAAUCUCACAAACCCGGGGACGGGGAUGUUGGCACAA
rnacentral:rRNA from 1 species